UAACCUGCCCAAGAGACUGGGAUAACACCUGGAAACAGAUGCUAAUACCGGAUAACAACACUAGACGCAUGUCUAGAGUUUAAAAGAUGGUUCUGCUAUCACUCUUGGAUGGACCUGCGGUGCAUUAGCUAGUUGGUAAGGCAACGGCUUACCAAGGCAAUGAUGCAUAGCCGAGUUGAGAGACUGAUCGGCCACAUUGGGACUGAGACACGGCCCAAACUCCUACGGGAGGCAGCAGCG
rnacentral:rRNA from 1 species